UACGUAGGGUGCAAGCGUUAAUCGGAAUUACUGGGCGUAAAGCGUGCGCAGGCGGUUAUAUAAGACAGUUGUGAAAUCCCCCGGGCUCAACCUGGGGAACUGCAUCUGUGACUGUAUAGCUAGAGUACGGUAGAGGGGGAUGGAAUUCCGCGUGUAGCAGUGAAAUGCGUAGAUAUGCGGAGGAACACCGAUGGCGAAGGCAAUCCCCUGGACCUGUACUGACGCUCAUGCACGAAAGCGUGGGGAGCAAAC
rnacentral:rRNA from 1 species